GGCAGUGGUGGCUUAGCGGUUAAGGCUUUGGGUUAUUGAUCAGAAGGUUGGAGGUUCAAAACCCAGCACUGCCA